UCUACGGGUGGCAGCAGUGGGGAAUAUUGCACAAUGGGGGAAACCCUGAUGCAGCGACGCCGCGUGAGCGAUGAAGUAUUUCGGUAUGUAAAGCUCUAUCAGCCGGGAAGAAAAUGACGGUACCUGACUAAGAAGCCCCGGCUAACUACGUGCCAGCAGCCGCGGUAAUAUGAAGGGGGCAAGCGUUAUCCGGAUUUACUGGGUGUAAAGGGAGCGUAGACGGCGGUGCACGCCAGAUGUGAAAGCCUGGGGCUCAACCCCGGGACUGCAUUUGAAACUGUGCUGCUAGAGUGUCGGAGAGGCAGGCGGAAUUCCUGGUGUAGCGGUGAAAUGCGUAGAUAGUAGGAGGAACACCAGUGGCGAAGGCGGCCUGCUGGACGAUGACUGACGUUGAGGCUCGAAAGCGUGGGGAGCAAACAGGAUUAGAUACCCGAGUAGUC
rnacentral:rRNA from 1 species